GGCGGGGGCGGCCAACCUCGCCUCCAGACCCCGCCGCGGCCCCGGAGUCACAGGCGCACCUCCGCCUCCAGGGACUCUCCCGGGAGAGACCCGCGCGCUCCGGGCCUCGAGGAAGUGGUGGUUUCUGCUCCCACCUUCUGCUCUGCCUGCUUUGCCUGAGUUUGGGGACUCCACAAAUGGAAGAUUUGGAGACAAAAGUAUUUAGAAAAGAAGUGUACUCGAAAAAGAUCUGUUAAGAGUCUCCACGGGCUAAAAGGAUUAGAUCAUCAAAAAAUAUAUGCAUGUAUCUAAAGGUACAAUGUGCUUUUCCCUUUCUGACUAUGAGAUGAGGUGUGUAUGAUUACCCAAAGUGAGAUGCUGUUUCACUUCUGCAGUUCCACCUGGUGGUCAGGUUUCUGGUCUUGAGGCACAUAUUUAACCAUGAUUCCUGCAAACUAACCUGAGAAGCCUUCCUGCCAAAGAGGAUCUACGCCUGCUUUUACCAAACAGAUGGGGAAGUUCCCUCUUGUCCAUACAGUUCACCUUGGAAUUAUUCAAAGUUUUUUGGGGGGUGGGAAAGCAUGGACUUACACCCCAGGCUGCUCAUAGAUGGAAGAGCCUCGGUCCCUACCCCACAGGUGGCCCUGAGGGUGGAACAGCUCCCUGGACACAAGAAGCAGGAGGAUGCUGAUUCCCUUUAGGAUGGACUGG